CCUACGGGAGGCAGCAGUGAGGAAUAUUGGUCAAUGGGCGGAAGCCUGAACCAGCCAAGUCGCGUGAGGGAAUAAGGCCCUACGGGUCGUAAACCUCUUUUGCCGGGGAGCAAGGGCGGGGACGUGUCCCGGCCCGGAGAGUACCCGGAGAAAAAGCAUCGGCUAACUCCGUGCCAGCAGCCGCGGUAAUACGGAGGAUGCGAGCGUUAUCCGGAUUCAUUGGGUUUAAAGGGUGCGCAGGCGGGCCUUUAAGCCGGCGGUGAAAUCGCGGGGCUCAAACCCGCCGAG
rnacentral:rRNA from 1 species